UAAGGAAUAUUGGUCAAUGGAGGCAACUCUGAACCAGCCAUGCCGCGUGCAGGAAGACGGCCCUCUGGGUUGUAAACUGCUUUUAUUCGGGUAUAAACCUAUCUACGUGUAGAUAGCUGAAUGUACCGAAGGAAUAAGGAUCGGCUAACUCCGUGCCAGCAGCCGCGGUAAUACGGAGGAUCCAAGCGUUAUCCGGAUUUAUUGGGUUUAAAGGGUGCGUAGGCGGCCUAUUAAGUCAGGGGUGAAAGACGGUAGCUCAACUAUCGCAGUGCCCUUGAUACUGAUGAGCUUGAAUGAACUAGAGGUAGGCGGAAUGUGACAAGUAGCGGUGAAAUGCAUAGAUAUGUCACAGAACACCGAUUGCGAAGGCAGCUUACUAUGGUUUUAUUGACGCUGAGGCACGAAAGCGUGGGGAUCAAACA
rnacentral:rRNA from 1 species